CUCGCCUUCUUUACUAAUCCUUGAUACUAUCUUGAUAGACCUAAAUAUAAAGCUUUAUUACAACUGUCACAUAAACUCAACAUUAACCAAGAAAAGGAAACAUUGAUCAAUCAACCAUGAAAAUGAGGUCAAGGUCAGAUGAACCAUGCCAGACAAACAUGUACAGCUAACAAUUCUUCAAUACAACAAAUAUAGUUGACUUAUUGCUUAUAAAUAAAGAAAAAAAUAACAGACCAAAACACACAAACACUUAAAACUUAGCAAUGAACCGUGAAAAUGAGGUCAAAGUCAAAUAAAACCAGC
rnacentral:lncRNA from 1 species